ACGCUGGCGGCGUGCCUAAUACAUGCAAGUCGAGCGAACGGACGAGAAGCUUGCUUCUCUGAUGUUAGCGGCGGACGGGUGAGUAACACGUGGAUAACCUACCUAUAAGACUGGGAUAACUUCGGGAAACCGGAGCUAAUACCGGAUAAUAUUUUGAACCGCAUGGUUCAAAAGUGAAAGACGGUCUUGCUGUCACUUAUAGAUGGAUCCGCGCUGCAUUAGCUAGUUGGUAAGGUAACGGCUUACCAAGGCAACGAUGCAUAGCCGACCUGAGAGGGUGAUCGGCCACACUGGAACUGAGACACGGUCCAGACUCCUACGUGAGGCAGCAGUAGGGAAUCUUCCGCAAUGGGCGAAAGCCUGACGGAGCAACGCCGCGUGAGUGAUGAAGGUCUUCGGAUCGUAAAACUCUGUUAUUAGGGAAGAACAUAUGUGUAAGUAACUGUGCACAUCUUGACGGUACCUAAUCAGAAAGCCACGGCUAACUACGUGCCAGCAGCCGCGGUAAUACGUAGGUGGCAAGCGUUAUCCGGAAUUAUUGGGCGUAAAGCGCGCGUAGGCGGUUUUUUAAGUCUGAUGUGAAAGCCCACGGCUCAACCGUGGAGGGUCAUUGGAAACUGGAAAACUUGAGUGCAGAAGAGGAAAGUGGAAUUCCAUGUGUAGCGGUGAAAUGCGCAGAGAUAUGGAGGAACACCAGUGGGCGAAGGCGACUUUCUGGUCUGUAACUGACGCUGAUGUGCGAAAGCGUGGGGAUCAAACAGGAUUAGAUACCCUGGUAGUCCACGCCGUAAACGAUGAGUGCUAAGUGUUAGGGGGUUUCCGCCCCUUAGUGCUGCAGCUAACGCAUUAAGCACUCCGCCUGGGGAGUACGACCGCAAGGUUGAAACUCAAAGGAAUUGACGGGGACCCGCACAAGCGGUGGAGCAUGUGGUUUAAUUCGAAGCAACGCGAAGAACCUUACCAAAUCUUGACAUCCUUUGACAACUCUAGAGAUAGAGCCUUCCCCUUCGGGGGACAAAGUGACAGGUGGUGCAUGGUUGUCGUCAGCUCGUGUCGUGAGAUGUUGGGUUAAGUCCCGCAACGAGCGCAACCCUUAAGCUUAGUUGCCAUCAUUAAGUUGGGCACUCUAAGUUGACCGCCGGUGACAAACCGGAGGAAGGUGGGGAUGACGUCAAAUCAUCAUGCCCCUUAUGAUUUGGGCUACACACGUGCUACAAUGGACAAUACAAAGGGCAGCGAAACCGCGAGGUCAAGCAAAUCCCAUAAAGUUGUUCUCAGUUCGGAUUGUAGUCUGCAACUCGACUACAUGAAGCUGGAAUCGCUAGUAAUCGUAGAUCAGCAUGCUACGGUGAAUACGUUCCCGGGUCU
rnacentral:rRNA from 1 species